rnacentral:tRNA from 1 species
GGGCCCGUAGCUCAGUGGCAGAGCAGUUGCCUCUUAAGCAACGUGUCGAUGGUUCGAAUCCAUCCGGGCUCA